ACGAAGGGGGCUAGCGUUGUUCGGAAUUACUGGGCGUAAAGCGCACGUAGGCGGCGAUUUAAGUCAGGGGUGAAAGCCCAGUGCUCAACACUGGAACUGCCCUUGAGACUGGAUUGCUUGAAUCCGGGAGAGGUGAGUGGAAUUCCGAGUGUAGAGGUGAAAUUCGUAGAUAUUCGGAAGAACACCAGUGGCGAAGGCGGCUCACUGGACCGGCAUUGACGCUGAGGUGCGAAAGCGUGGGGAGCAAACAGG
rnacentral:rRNA from 1 species